rnacentral:rRNA from 1 species
UCAAGUUAUUAAGGGUGCAGGGCGGAUGCCUUGGCACUAGGAGCCGAUGAAGGACGUGAUAAGCUGCGAUAAGCUUCGGGGAGUUGCACGUAAACUUUGAUCCGAAGAUUUCCGAAUGAGGAAACUCACUUAGAGUAAUGUCUAAGUAUCAUUAAGUGAAUACAUAGCUUAAUGAGGGGAACUCAGGGAACUGAAACAUCUAAGUACCUGAAGGAAGAGAAAGAAAUUCGAUUCCGUAAGUAGCGGCGAGCGAACGCGGAUUAGCCCAAACCAAUAAAGUUUUCUUUAUUGGGGUUGCGGACAUAUCAUAACGAAGAGGUAUCGUAAUUGAAGAGGUUUGGAAAGACCCACCACAGAAGGUAAUAGUCCUGUAUGUUAAACGAGAAGACUUUAGAUAUGAUCCAGAGUACCACGGGACACGUGAAACCCUGUGGGAAGCAGGAGGGACCACCCUCCAAGGCUAAAUACUACCUAGUGACCGAUAGCGUAUAGUACCGUGAGGGAAAGGUGAAAAGAACCCCGGGAGGGGAGUGAAAUAGAACCUGAAACCCUGCACUUACAAGCUGUGGAAGCACAUUUCUUGUGUGACCGCGUACUUUUUGUAGAACGGGCCAACGAGUUACGUUAAGUAGCAAGGUUAAGCACUUAAGGUGCGGAGCCGUAGCGAAAGCGAGUUUUAACUGAGCGUUCAGUUACUUGACGUAGACCCGAAACCGGGCGACCUACCCAUGAGCAGGAUGAAGCGAAAGUAAAAUUUCGUGGAGGUCCGAACCCACGAGCGUUGAAAAGCUCGGGGAUGACUUGUGGGUAGCGGUGAAAUUCCAAUCGAGCCCGGAGAUAGCUGGUUCUCCCCGAAAUAGCUUUAGGGCUAGCCUCAAGGUGAGAGAUACGGAGGUAGAGCACUGAAUGUCCUAGGGGGUAUUGCACCUACCGAAGACUAUCAAACUCCGAAUGCCGUCAUCUUAUACUUGGGAGUCAGACUGUGGGUGAUAAGAUUCAUAGUCGAAAGGGCAACAGCCCAGAUCGUCAGCUAAGGUCCCUAAAUGUAAGUUAAGUGGUAAAGGAUGUGGGAUUGCACAGACAACCAGGAUGUUGGCUUAGAAGCAGCCACUCAUUCAAAGAGUGCGUAAUAGCUCACUGGUCGAGUGAUCCUGCGCCGAAGAUUUCCGGGGCUAAAACUUACUACCGAAGCUACGGCAUCAGUAAUGAUGGGUAGGGGAGCUUCCCAUACGGGUUGAAGCAUGACCGUAAGGACAUGUGGACAGUAUGGGAGUGAGAAUGUUGGCAUGAGUAGCGAGAUGUGGGUGAGAAUCCCACAGGCCGUAAACCCAAGGUUUCCAGGGGAAGGUUCGUCCGCCCUGGGUUAGUCGGGACCUAAGCUGAGGCCGAAAGGCGUAGGUGAUGGACAACAGGUUGAUAUUCCUGUACUACCGAUAACCGUUUGAGAGAAGGGAUGACACAGUAGGAUAAGCUAAGCACACUGUUGGUUAUGUGUGCCCAAGCAUUGAGGCAGUCAAAGUAGGUAAAUCCGCUUUGAUAAUGCUGGGAUGUGAUGGGGAGCGAAAUUUAGUAGCGAAGUAGCUGAUUUCACACUGUCAAGAAAAGUCUCUAUCGAGGUUAAAGGUACCCGUACCGCAAACCGACACAGGUGGGUGAGGAGAGUAUCCUAAGGCCAGCGAGAGAACUGUUGUUAAGGAACUCGGCAAAAUGACCCCGUAACUUAGGGAUAAGGGGUGCCACCAUCAGGUGGCCGCAGAGAAUAGGCCCAAGCGACUGUUUACCAAAAACAUAGGUUUCUGCUAAGUCGCAAGACGAUGUAUAGGAGCUGACGCCUGCCCGGUGCUGGAAGGUUAAGGGGAUCUGUUAGAGCAAUCGAAGCAGUGAACUUAAGCCCCAGUAAACGGCGGCCGUAACUAUAACGGUCCUAAGGUAGCGAAAUUCCUUGUCGGGUAAGUUCCGACCCGCACGAAAGGCGUAACGAUUUGGGCACUGUCUCAACAACAGACUCGGUGAAAUUGUAAUUCCGGUGAAGAUGCCGGAUACCUGCGACAGGACGGAAAGACCCCAUGGAGCUUUACUGUAGCUUGACAUUGGGUCUUGGUACUACAUGUACAGGAUAGGUGGGAGGCUUUGAAACCAGGACGCCAGUUUUGGCGGAGCCAUCCUUGGGAUACCACCCUUGUAGUACUGGGACUCUAACCAUAGGCCAUGAAUCUGGUCUUGGGACACUGUCAGGUGGGCAGUUUGACUGGGCGGUCGCCUCCCAAAAGGUAACGGAGGCGCUCAAAGGUUCUCUCAGUACGGUCGGAAAUCGUACGUAGAGUGUAAAGGCAAAAGAGAGCUUGAUUGCAAGACAUACAGGUCGAGCAAGGAUGAAAAUCGGACUUAGUGAUCCGGUGGUUCUGCGUGGAAGGGCCAUCGCUCAACGGAUAAAAGCUACCCUGGGGAUAACAGGCUUAUCUCCCCCAAGAGUCCACAUCGACGGGGAGGUUUGGCACCUCGAUGUCGGCUCAUCACAUCCUGGGGCUGUAGUAGGUCCCAAGGGUUGGGCUGUUCGCCCAUUAAAGUGGUACGCGAGCUGGGUUCAGAACGUCGUGAGACAGUUCGGUCCCUAUCCGUCGCAGGCGUAGGAAAUUUGAGAAGACCUGUCCUUAGUACGAGAGGACCGGGAUGGACGUACCUCUGGUGUACCAGUUGUUCUGCCAAGGGCAUGGCUGGGUAGCUAUGUACGGAAUGGAUAAGCGCUGAAAGCAUCUAAGCGCGAAGCCAACUUCAAGAUAAGAUUUCCCACCGCAAGGGUAAGACCCCAGAAAGACUAUCUGGUUGAUAGGUCGAAGGUGUAAGUGCAGCAAUGUAUUUAGCUUAUCGAUACUAAUAGGUCGAGGACUUGACCAA